GACUUGUGCGUGCCGGAUGUGGCGAUCUGCGGUCAAAAGACCGUCGCGAUCCGCCCGUCCUGGCACCGUAAAAUUUGCAACUGGGUCGCCGCUGGCCUUAAUUGAUCGGCGGCGUCUGCUCGGUUGCUCGUUUACUGUGAGAAAAUUGGAGUGUUCAAGGCAGGCAUUAUUGCAACUGAACAUGUUAGCAUGGAAUAAUAAGAUAAGGCUUUCGCGUUUAUUUUGUUGGUUUCUAGAUCGGAAGUAAUGAUUGAUAGGGACAGUUGGGGGUGCUAGUAUUCAGCGGCCAGAGGUGAAAUUCAUGGAUUCGCUGAAGACUAACUUAUGCGAAAGCAUU
rnacentral:rRNA from 1 species